UGAGUGCGAGCGGCUACGGCCGCGAAGUGGGUGAUGUCAAGCUUCCAAGAAAAGCCCUAUACCCGUUAAGGCAUGAUGGCCUGUACCCGAAACCGACACAGGUGGGGUGGUAGAGAAUACCGAGGGGCGCGAGGUAACUCUCUCUAAGGAACUCGGCAAAAUGGCCCCGUAACUUCGGGAGAAGGGGUGCCACCGCAAGGUGGUCGCAGUGAAGAGGCCCAGGCGACUGUUUACCAAAAACACAGGUCUCCGCUAAGUCGCAAGACGAUGUAUGGGGGCUGACGCCUGCCCAGUGCCGGAAGGUUAAGGAAGCUGGUCAGCGCAAGCGAAGCUGGCGACUGAAGCCCCGGUGAACGGCGGCCGUAACUAUAACGGUCCUAAGGUAGCGAAAUUCCUUGUCGGGUAAGUUCCGACCCGCACGAAAGGCGUAACGAUCUGGGCGCUGUCUCGGAGAGAGGCUCGGCGAAAUAGAAUUGUCUGUGAAGAUGCGGACUACGUGCACCCGGACAGAAAGACCCUAUGAAGCUUUACUGUAGCUUGGUAUUGUGUCCGGGCUCUGAAUGCGCAGGAUAGGUGGGAGGCUUUGAUCCAUGGCUUGCGGGUCAAGGUGAGCCAACGGUGAGAUACCACUCUUUCAGAGCUAGGGUUCUAACGGUCACCCGUCAUCCGGGGACCGGACAGUAUCAGGUGGGCAGUUUGACUGGGGCGGUCGCCUCCUAAAAGGUAACGGAGGCGCGCAAAGGUUUGCUCAGGCUGGUUGGAAAUCAGCCGACGAGUGCAAAAGCAGAAGCAAGCUUGACUGUGAGACCUACAAGUCGAACAGGGACGAAAGUCGGCUUUAGUGAUCCGACGGUUCUGAGUGGAAGGGCCGUCGCUCAACGGAUAAAAGUUACUCUAGGAUAACAGGCUGAUCUCCCCCAAGAGUUCACAUCGACGGGGAGGUUUGGCACCUCGAUGUCGGCUCAUCGCAACCUGGGGCUGAAGUCGGUCCCAAGGGUUGGGCUGUUCGCCCAUUAAAGCGGUACGCGAGCUGGGUUCAGAACGUCGUGAGACAGUUCGGUCCAUAUCCGGUGCACGCGCAGGAACAUUGAGAGGAUUUCUCCCUAGUACGAGAGGACCGGGAGGAACGCACCUCUGGUGUGCCAGUUAUCGUGCCAACGGUAAACGCUGGGUAGCCAUGUGCGGAGUGGAUAACCGCUGAAAGCAUCUAAGUGGGAAGCCCACCUCAAGAUGAGUGUUCCCAUGGCAUAAGCCAGUAAGGUCACGGGAAGAACACCCGUUGAUAGGCUCUACGUGGAAGCCGGGUAACCGGUGAAGCGGAGGAGUACUAAUAGACCGAGGGC
rnacentral:rRNA from 1 species